rnacentral:tRNA from 1 species
UCCCUGAUAGCUCAGUUGGUAAAGAAUCUGCCUGCAAUGCGGGAAACCCUGGGUUGAUUCCUGGUUUGGGAA